CUGAUCAGUGACUGUCCAGUCCUUUCACAGACACUGACACAGGCAGCAUCAUGAUGAUGUCAAACAUUUUACUGCUGGUGAUUCUGGGACUCUUUGCUCAGGAAUCGAUGGCAGAUGUAGUUCUGACUCAGUCUCCGUCAGCUCAGUCUGUUCAGCUGGGCAACACUGUCUCUAUCAGCUGUACAGCCAGUCAGAGCGUUUACACCAACUCCAAUGGCGAGUUCCUCCACUGGUACCUGCAGAAACCUGGUCAGGCUCCUAAACUUCUGAUUUAUUAUGCCACAAAACGCCAGUCUGGGAUUCCUGAUCGUUUCAGUGGGAGUGGAUCUGGGACUCAGUUUACACUGAAAAUCACUGGAGUCCAGGCUGAAGAUGCAGGAGAUUAUUACUGUCAGAGUCUCCACAGUGGUCCUGUGUUCACACAGUGAUACAGAGCCGUACAAAAACCUCCCUCAGUCAGACUGCACAGAGACUGCACUGCUGCAGCUGGGACCUACUGCAGGUGCUGAGAGGGGAGGCACUCACCCGAGACAUUGAGGGGUCUGCUCUAAAAUAUUGAUCUACAGUGGAUUAUUAUAAAAUCAUUCAUAUUCUCUAUUCAAAGAGAUUACACUACAUUUUAAUUUCAGUGCAUCCUGACUUUUAAUUAGGAAUGUAUUCUGGAAGAAUUUCCAAUGACUUUGCAUUUUGAAUUCUUUGUAAAAUAGUUUAACACAA